UAUUUUUUCUCAUCUUAGUUUGCUAUUUUGGCGCGAUUUUGACAAUUUCUGGCGCAUUCCACUUAUUUACUUUAGCGGCCAUAGGGCAAUGGUUUACUAACGGGAGAUGUGGUGAAUUACAGCAGCAAUACUUGAAAUAUAAGGAAGAAGUGAAGCAAUUAUGAUACCUAUUAUUUUUAUAAUGACAGAAGGAACGUGGAAGAAAAAAAACAUUUUGUGCAGCUGUGAAAACAAGGAAAUAGAAUGAAAGAAGGGCUGCUACUUUUCAUGCUCCCGAAACCAGCCAUCUCAUCAAUGCAUCAUCAUAGCAUGUUGCAUUGGAGCUCUGCUGGAGUUUGCUGAUGACAGGAUUCUGAAGGGCUGAAGCUGGUAGCUCUGGCAGGAGUCCAGUGUCCACCAGCUCAAGAUCCGACGCCGCCGCGUCGCCGCCGUGCGGCACUCCGCGUAGACGGGGACGGCGGUCAUGAUUGAAGACACCGCAUUUCCCGCCUGGACUGUCCGGUCGGAGACUGGUAAUCCCUCCGGUGAGCCGCACACCGUGGAGCUACUGCACCGCGCGUGUCCACCCGCAGCGCAGUGCCAGCAACGGUGCCGUGAGUGCGACAUCUGCGUGCAUAUGACGCAGUGCGACUGUCACGACUCGCGGCUCAUUGUUCUGUCAGUGUGACAGUGCGACUCGCGCUCGUUUUAGCGUGGUGCUCUGUUGUAUAUAACCACCUUGAUGGAGACCUAUGUGCUGCCGCUUGAGUUUCAAUGUACAGUUUUAUGCAUCAAACUAGCGUAAGUAAAUGGCUGUCAGAGGUCAAUUUGAAGCGCAAUUAGUACCCAUAACCCAGCUGGGUUGAGCGAGUCAUGUGACUAGUCCCGAUGAACGUACUGUUUCGAUGUCGUCAGUCGUAGACUUUUGUAAACCAUUCGUUUCGGAGCUCUGUGUUGUGAUGUUCGGGACCGCAGUUGUUUGAGCAGUUUGCUUUAUGCGUCGUACGCUGACAGAACGCUGGUCGUACACAAGUCAUGUGUUUCCUUUCGCCCCUAAUGUGUUACUGCGGUACCUAUGCAGUUGUAAUGUGUCUCUAUACACUAACUGGUCGCACUUCGUUGUGAAAAUGACACUAGCUGGUCGCACUUGGUUUCAAACUGCGCUUGGAAGUCGUGCAAUUUUAUUUGCAUUUUGCAAUGCAAUUUUACUGCCGUUACCGUAUUGGUAGAUUGAGAUAGUGUCAGAAGUUGGCCAUUUGAUGCGUUGUCACUUGUCAGACGUUGUUGCCUUAGUACUGACGAAUUGAUGGGCCGCGUUUGUGUUCCUGUUAAGAAACGGAUCUCAAUAUAAGGUGAUUCAGAGGUAGGAACCUGAAUGCAUUC
rnacentral:lncRNA from 1 species